rfam:Eubacterium sp. CAG:202 genomic scaffold, scf162
AAUUCCCUGCCUGAUGCGUGAAUGAUUUUAAAAUAACCCUACAACUCUUAAAUCGGGAGCCCGGCUCUUUAAUCGGUGUGCAGACCUCCCGCUUUGGCGGAAGAAGGAAGCCUAAUGUUUAAAGGAGAGCACCCACCUGCUUUCUCGUAGGCAGGUUAUUAUAAAAAUCAUACGGUCAGGCGGGGUUAUU